AACCAUACCCUAAAUCUGAACCUAACUUCUGUUUCUGUGAACUGAAGAACACCCUAUACAAACAGCUAGAGCAUCUGAUUGAUGGGCCCAGAGGCAGUGCCCGUCCGAUUUCCUUCCAGGAAUUUUUUAGUGGAGACAGCGCGGUGUGCGGCUGCCCCGGAUCCAAUGCUGGUGCUGGCACCUACUCUGUGCGAACUCUCCUCUCAGUAUUUUCAUUUGAAAAUCGGGGCAGUAAUAGCACCUGCACCACAGGAUUUGUAUGAGGAUUGUUAGUCUGUAGAAUUUGAGGCACUUAAUGGACAGUUAAAUAGGAGUGAAAUAAUUCAUCAUUGUACCUUAGCACUUUGUACAUGGAAGAGUGAGCUACAAAGAUAAAAAAUGAUGCAAA